CUCGCUGCUGCUGCUGCUCCUGGCCCUGGCUCCGGGAGCGGCUCCGGGCACCGCCGCCCUGCCGACCCCACCGCGCCCCGGACACGGAGGAUCCUGCGAGCCAGGGAGGCUGGAGGAUGCCCAGAGGGAUCCCUGCCUGCGGGCAGCGGUGUCCUGAGAGCGCAGAAAUGCAGAAAGGAGUCCCCACACACGGGGCAGGGAGGGGUGGUGGCACCUCCGAUGCCAUGGGAGGGAUGCUGCCAGGAGAAUCCUGCCGGCAGCACCCAGGGAGAGCACCCUGCCCUGCCCUGCAUCGCUCCGGGGACAGGGAGGAAAAAAGAGGCAAGAAAAUCCUCGUUGUGAAAGCAGGACUGAGCAGCCAGGCUGGAAAACCAAGCCCGAGGAAAAUUGCUUUUCCAGUGUGCUGAGCCUGGUGUGGACAGCGUGCAAAACUCUAGAUAAGAGAACAAUAAACAAGAACCUGAAGACCGAAAAAGUCCAGUCUGCCUCUCUUUCCUGGCACAAAACCGCUCCAGGAGGGUCUCCCCCAACAGGGGAGCCCCUGGGAGGCUUCAGCUUGAGUCCCAGGGAAGCAACAGCUCCUGCUCCUCCCAUCGCUCUCCCGAACUCCCGAAUGGGCCAAGAGCGAAAUGAAGAACGCAGGGAACAAAGCAAAGUAAACAAACAUUUAAAGCCACGUUCCAGGAGGAAUCUGCGGACUGCUGAGCUCAGCGCUUCUCUCCAGAGCUCUGCAUCCCCAUCCCGGGGUCUGGGCUGGAAAUCAGCUCCAGGAAAACAGCACCAACCUCAGGGACCCAGUGUCCAGCUCCUUCCCUUCCCAAAUGGUCCCAGGACUGGUGGUGAUGCCUCAGGUUUGAGCUUUUCUAUUUCUCAGGUUCUGUGCUGCUUUAGUGUGUGGGUCUGGGUUCAUAUCAGGGGAUGGUGAGCUCUGUGCACAGAGCAGGGAGACAAAACAAUUCCUGCUCCAGCUGGGGACCAAGGACAAAGGAUCCAAAUCUCAGGCCCAAGAGCACAAACAACGUGGGCUGAAGAGAGAAAAACAAGAAGGAUGGGACUGCAUGGGCUGGGGCUGGAAUUGGAUACUUAACUCCAAUGUGCAAAUGGAGCAGAACUUACAAAAAAUGUGAGACCCUGUGACCAGGUGUCCAUUUUGGUUCAUCUUGGGUGCAGCCCUGUCUGGGCUCUUGUGCUGCCCAAGGUGGAUCCAUUGAGGCCUUUUAAUAAAUCCCUGCUUUAUUCCUUAGCUCUGUCCAGUCUCUGUUCUAGCUCAGCCUUCACAAGGCACCAGUGCCCCCCUCCUCCAAGCUUCUGGGGCACUCCUUGUCUGCAGGGUGGGGA